AGGCUAGGGCAAUGGUGGGCCUACUAAGCGUGUCAGGUCCGGAAGGAAGCAGCACUAUGUGGGUGCCAUCAUGUGCCUGAUUAAUAA
rnacentral:SRP_RNA from 1 species